rnacentral:rRNA from 1 species
UACGGGGGGGGCAAGCGUUGUUCGGAAUUACUGGGCGUAAAGGGCUCGUAGGCGGCCAACUAAGUCAUACGUGAAAUCCCUCGGCUUAACCGGGGAACUGCGUCUGAUACUGGAUGGCUUGAGUUCGGGAGAGGGAUGCGGAAUUCCAGGUGUAGCGGUGAAAUGCGUAGAUAUCUGGAGGAACACCGGUGGCGAAGGCGGCAUCCUGGACCGACACUGACGCUGAGGAGCGAAGGCCAGGGGAGCAAACGGG